rnacentral:rRNA from 1 species
GUGACCUCGAAUCAAGCAAGACUACCCGCUGAACUUA